rnacentral:tRNA from 1 species
GCGCCUGUGGCUCAAUGGUUAGAGCGUUGGACCUCUGAUCCACAGCAGUCGGGUUCGAACCUCGCGUGCU